GUGAAUCAUCAAAUUUUUGAACGCAAAUUGCACUCUCUUCGGAGAGUAUGCCUGUUUGAGGGUCAGCCUAAAAAAAAUCAAAUUGUUCGCGGUUUCGGGUUGACUUUGGUCGGAAAUGGGGUAAUCUUAAACUUUUGGGUUUUAAGGGGCUUAAAAUUUUCUUUACGAUUCCACGAACGCUCCUAGAAUUUACUUCUUACACUUUUA
rnacentral:misc_RNA from 1 species